rnacentral:rRNA from 1 species
GAUGAACGCUGGCGGCGUGCCUAAUACAUGCAAGUCGAGCGAACAGAUGAGGAGCUUGCUCCUUUGACGUUAGCGGCGGACGGGUGAGUAACACGUGGGUAACCUACCUAUAAGACUGGGAUAACUUCGGGAAACCGGAGCUAAUACCGGAUAACAUUUUGAACCGCAUGGUUCUAAAGUGAAAGACGGUUUUGCUGUCACUUAUAGAUGGACCCGCGCCGCAUUAGCUAGUUGGUAAGGUAACGGCUUACCAAGGCAACGAUGCGUAGCCGACCUGAGAGGGUGAUCGGCCACACUGGAACUGAGACACGGUCCAGACUCCUACGGGAGGCAGCAGUAGGGAAUCUUCCGCAAUGGGCGAAAGCCUGACGGAGCAACGCCGCGUGAGUGACGAAGGGUUUCGGAUCGUAAAACUCUGUUAUUAGGGAAGAACAAACGUGUAAGUAACUAUGCACGUCUUGACGGUACCUAAUCAGAAAGCCACGGCUAACUACGUG